rnacentral:rRNA from 1 species
UGGUCAGGUUGAAGUUCAGGUAACACUGAAUGGAGGACCGAACCGACUUACGUUGAAAAGUGAGCGGAUGAACUGAGGGUAGCGGAGAAAUUCCAAUCGAACCUGGAGAUAGCUGGUUCUCUCCGAAAUAGCUUUAGGGCUAGCCUCAAGUGAUGAUUAUUGGAGGUAGAGCACUGUUUGGACGAGGGGCCCCUCUCGGGUUACCGAAUUCAGACAAACUCCGAAUGCCAAUUAAUUUAACUUGGGAGUCAGAACAUGGGUGAUAAGGUCCGUGUUCGAAAGGGAAACAGCCCAGACCACCAGCUAAGGUCCCAAAAUAUAUGUUAAGUGGAAAAGGAUGUGGCGUUGCCCAGACAACUAGGAUGUUGGCUUAGAAGCAGCCAUCAUUUAAAGAGUGCGUAAUAGCUCACUAGUCGAGUGACACUGCGCCGAAAAUGUACCGGGGCUAAACAUAUUACCGAAGCUGUGGAUUGUCCUUUGGACAAUGGUAGGAGAGCGUUCUAAGGGCGUUGAAGCAUGAUCGUAAGGACAUGUGGAGCGCUUAGAAGUGAGAAUGCCGGUGUGAGUAGCGAAAGACGGGUGAGAAUCCCGUCCACCGAUUGACUAAGGUUUCCAGAGGAAGGCUCGUCCGCUCUGGGUUAGUCGGGUCCUAAGCUGAGGCCGACAGGCGUAGGCGAUGGAUAACAGGUUGAUAUUCCUGUACCACCUAUAAUCGUUUUA